GUCGUCGUGGCCGAGUGGUUAAGGCGACAGACUAGAAAUCUCUUGGGCUCUGCCCGCACAGGUUCGAAUCCUGUCGGCGACG
rfam:Ciona savignyi cont_44586, whole genome shotgun sequence.